rnacentral:lncRNA from 1 species
GUACAUCAGUCUUUUGAUGAUCACUGGGGGCAUCUGGGGCUCUGUCCCACUGGAGACCUGUGGAAGACUGUGUGGAACACUCCUCAGGAGCAAGGAAAACUGAGAGACAGGGUCUCACUCAGUUUCCCAGGCUGGAGUGCAGUGGUGUCAUCAUAGCUCACUGGAGCCUCGAAAUCCUGGGUUCAAGCAAUCAUCCUGCCUCAGACGCCUGAGUAGCUGCAGCUACAGGCAAAGUCUUGCUGUGUCGCCAGCCAGAGUGCAAUGGCACGAUCUCGGUUCACCACAACCUCCGUCCCUUGGGUUCAAGCGAUUCUCCUGCCUCAGCCUCCUGAGUAGCUGGGACUACAGGUGCUCACCACGCCCAGCUAAUUUUUGUAUUUUUAGUAGAGACGGGGUUUCACCAUGUUGGCCAGUAUGGUCUCAAUCUCUUGACCUUGUGAUCCACCCACCUCAGCCCUCCAAAGUGCUGGGAUUACAGGCGUGAGCCACCGCUCCGGGCCAAGACUCUAAUCUUUCUAUAGUGUUUGCUUAACCUAAUUCAUGAUAAUUUAUUUCUGCGAUUUCCAUGUUUUCUUUUUUAAUUGCUACUUUAUUUUACUGAGGGUUUUCCCUGCAUUUUAUCUGAGAGAAUACUUGUGGCCUGUCUUUAAGAAACAGCUUUGAAGUAGAUUUACCAGGUGACUUAAUGGUAAUCCCUGUCUUAGGAAUAAUAUGAUGUAUAUUGUUAAAAUUAACAGUAUAUUCAUUUUAACCUCAAACCUGGGAUAGCCGAAGGACUAAAAUUUCUCUUUGGAGAUAUAUACGUGUAAAACAUAGAGCCUAGACAGAGACAGACAAACUUCCUUGCUAUCUUCCUGUGAUGCUGGGCAAUUUAAAAAUUUAAUCAUCUAUCAAAUGUGUAGACUUUUGAGGGCCCCUGUUCUGCUCCAUUCUCUCAGUUCCCGUUCUUUGUCAUGCAUAGGUUGCAUAGGCCAUGCAUGUCCUCUGUCUCAUCUUGUAAAUACAACCUGAGUUUUGAAAAUACCGGGAGGAAAAGUACAUCGCCUCAGGUUCCACUCACAUGCUUACCCUUUGGUUUUUGGUUUCCAUCUUAUUUCUGGUACCUACAGGUUUCCUUUUCUUUGUUGAAAACGUAGCUAUGCAUUUAAAAUGUUUUGUUAUAUGUUACCAGCCCAUUUUGUUAUAUGCUAACCAUGUUACAUGUUACAUUUAGUUAUUUACACUUUUAGAGUUUCUAGUUAUCUUAAUCAGCCAUCCUGCUAAAAAUUGAAGUUGCAUUUUAUAUAUCUUUAAGAAUCAUUUGGAAAGAUAAUUUAUCUUUUUAAUGGGAAUAACAAUGACUAGCAAGCUUAUUUUGAUAAAAUUAGAUGCUGUUUUGUAUACUGCUAAAAUAUAAUAUUUUUAAAAUGUGCA